rnacentral:rRNA from 1 species
AAGCGGCAAAAGCUCAAAUUUGAAAUCUGGCUCUUUCAGAGUCCGAGUUGUAAUUUGAAGAAGGUAUCUUUGGGUCUGGCUCUUGUCUAUGUUUCUUGGAACAGAACGUCACAGAGGGUGAGAAUCCCGUGCGAUGAGAUGAUCCAGGCCUAUGUAAAGUUCCUUCGAAGAGUCGAGUUGUUUGGGAAUGCAGCUCUAAGUGGGUGGUAAAUUCCAUCUAAAGCUAAAUAUUGGCGAGAGACCGAUAGCGAACAAGUACAGUGAUGGAAAGAUGAAAAGAACUUUGAAAAGAGAGUGAAAAAGUACGUGAAAUUGUUGAAAGGGAAGGGCUUGAGAUCAGACUUGGUAUUUUGUAUGUUACUUCUUCGGGGGUGGCCUCUACAGUUUAUCGGGCCAGCAUCAGUUUGGGCGGUAGGAGAAUUGCGUUGGAAUGUGGCACGGCUUCGGUUGUGUGUUAUAGCCUUCGUCGAUACUGCCAGCCUAGACUGAGGACUGCGGUUUAUACCUAGGAUGUUGGCAUAAUGAUCUUAAGUCGCCCGUCUUGAAACACGGACC